rnacentral:rRNA from 1 species
UACGAAGGGGGCUAGCGUUGCUCGGAAUCACUGGGCGUAAAGCGCACGUAGGCGGAUUGUUAAGUCAGGGGUGAAAUCCUGGAGCUCAACUCCAGAACUGCCUUUGAUACUGGCGAUCUUGAGUCCGGGAGAGGUGGGUGGAACUGCGAGUGUAGAGGUGAAAUUCGUAGAUAUUCGCAAGAACACCAGUGGCGAAGGCGGCUCACUGGUCCGGUACUGACGCUGAGGUGCGAAAGCGUGGGGAGCAAACAGG